GUGAGGGAGGGUGUGACUAGUGACAGUUAGGCAGGGAAGGGGUGACUAGUGACAGAGGGAGGGGUGACUAGGGACAGAGUGAGGUAGGCGGUGACUAGUGACAGUCACCACCUCCCUCACUCUAUCACUAGUCACCACCUCCCUCCGUCACUGUGUCACCCCCUACCUCACUCUGUCACCAGUCAUCCCCUUACUCUGUCACUAGUCACCCCUCCCUUCCCUCACUCUGCCACUAGUCACCCCUUCCCUCCCUCUGUCACUAGUCACCACCUCCCUCUCUCUGUCACUAGUCACACCCUCCCUCAC
rnacentral:sRNA from 1 species